UAAAGAAGAGAGAAGAAGAAGUAGAACUAAAUAAAAAUGUGCUGGAGUGCAAAAAAACUGAUCGAGUCAGCGCAGAGGUAAAAUUGAAAGUGUGGAAGGAAAUAGAGAUCGAGUUCAACUCAAAGUUUGGUAAAGUGUAUAGGAGCUCAAAGGUGCUGAAGACGAAGUACGAGAAUGUGAAGAAGGACUCAAAAAAGAGAUUAGCAGCAGAAAGGCGUGAUAUUUAUACCCAGCACAACAAUAGACGGGAAAAUACUGAGCAUUUGCCAGCCUGAGCAAAUUGCGGGCAAUGAAGCUAUUUAUAAUGACGACGCAUUAGAAAUAAUUGAAGAAACUUGCAUUGUGGAAGUUCCAGUGGAGAUGGAAGAAGAUUUAUCCGCAUCCCUACUAGAGCAGACACUAGACAAACCUCAAGACAUUUCGUGGCAGAAAUAUACCCCAGUCAAUCUGCGAAAACCGGCACACCACUAUGAAGGCUCGAAAAAGGAACUCUGCUCCGGACUCCUGGGCUGAUACUGCCUCAAAAAAGGCAAAAAAGUGCGAGUUACAUAUGAAAUGCAUAGUUGAAGAGCAUGAACUCUCAAACAAGAGGCUUCCACCAGUUGCAUAUACCCU